rnacentral:lncRNA from 1 species
UGUGGUAGUUUGUGAUGGACUAGUUGGAGCACCCGUGCAAGGUUAAGUCUUUCGGAAAGCCAUGCCCAUAGUUGUGUGGCAACUUGGAAACUUUGUUUAACACCCGGUCAUAGCAAAUUUCAAGUAAACUUAACUUAAACUUGCCAACUGUGUGUGUAACAAUGAAUGUCUCCUUUGUGAGCUCCAUCUCCAACUCAGGAUGUGGUGGGGUUAUAUCUGACGUAAGUAGGUGUUCAAGAUCAUUCAUUUGAUCAUCAUUAGUUCACGUCCGUUUAUGCAUAGCUCAUCCCCCUUUUAUUCUUGUACUCGUAAGUUAGCCACUCCAAUAACUGCUUAGUCGCUCGCUGUAGCCUCACCAGUUAACCAUACCUCACUCAUUAAUCUUUGCUAGUAUUGAUACCUUUGGAAAUGAGAUUGUUGAGUCCAUGUGGCUCACAGAUUACUACAACAAUAGUUGCAGAUACACGUAAAGAGAUACUUGACGUGAGAGUGAUGAUUUUUUCAUUUGGAGUUUCUUCUUCUUCUUCAUUGAUUUAGGAUGGAUUCCAGGCCGGCAGCCUGGGAUAGCAAGGUUGGACGUCAUUAUUUUAUCG